AUGAAAUAUGAAAACCAAAAGGAAGCUCUAAAUGCCUCUCGGAGCCGAGUUUGCAAUCAGUUGGUCAGCGUCUCAGCGCGUUCGUUUUGUCUCCAUCCAGCUGAGUCUCCCUCCAGCUCGAGGCCGUCGAUGUGCGUAGUCUGUCCAGUGUGUGUUUUGAUUUGAUUUACUUUGCGUGUUUUGUGUGCAAAUUGUGUGAAAUACCCCCAAGAUGAAGUCAACAUUCCAGUCGCUGGGGAUUUUUCUUACCCGUCUCCUGGCACUAAACAACGUUCUAGUGGAAGCCCAAGAAAGUUAAAAAAUGUUAUCAAUAAUUUAGUGAAGUAAUCUUUUUUCGAGAAAAAGAAUAUAGCCCUAACUGUGGACACCCCUGAACAAUUCGCUUAAAAUAAAAAAAAAAAAUGAAAGAAAGUCAUCACAAAUUGGAAGUUUAUUUAUUUUAAGAGGCUGCUGGCAUAAAGAAAAAGAAGGAUAACACUUUUUAACAUCAAUCAUCGGAAUCAGAGUCUUGGCAGACGGUGCAGACAGAUGAUGCAAAAAUCCUGAUCACCGUCCGAAAAAGCCUUGGUUCGCUUAUCUGCUGGUUUGGCUAAUGAUGCCUUCCGUCCACGCUUUUUCUGAACAGAA